rnacentral:rRNA from 1 species
CUGCAUGACCAUGUCAUCCCAAACAUGCCUCAUCACAACCAAUCUCAAAAGCUAAGCAGAGAAGGAUGUGGUUAUUACUUGCAUGAGAUACCUGCUGAGAAUAUCUGAUGCUAUACUCC